AUUGAACGCUGGCGGCAUGCCUUACACAUGCAAGUCGAACGGUAACGGGUCCUUCGGGAUGCCGACGAGUGGCGAACGGGUGAGUAAUAUAUCGGAACGUGCCCAGUAGUGGGGGAUAACUGCUCGAAAGAGCAGCUAAUACCGCAUACGACCUGAGGGUGAAAGCGGGGGAUCUUCAGACCUCGCGCCGAAAGAUGAGCCUACGUCCGAUUAGCUAGUUGGUGGGGUAAUGGCCCACCAAGGCGACGAUCGGUAGCUGGUCUGAGAGGAUGAUCAGCCACACUGGGACUGAGACACGGCCCAGACUCCUACGGGAGGCAGCAGUGGGGAAUUUUGGACAAUGGGCGCAAGCCUGAUCCAGCGAUGCCGCGUGGGUGAAGAAGGCCUUCGGGUUGUAAAGCCCUUUCGGCAGGGAAGAAAAGUUCGGAGUUAAUACCUCCGAAUCUUGACGUCACCUGCGGAAGAAGCACCGGCUAACUCCGUGCCAGCAGCCGCGGUAA
rnacentral:rRNA from 1 species